AAUCCUACUAACAAGUUGAGCUGCUGCUCUGCCCGGUGCGUUCUAUACAGACGCUAAAGGGUGAUUUUUGCGUCGGUAUCUGCGUCGGUAAAACUGACCAAGCGUCAGCA